UUCACUGACUCAAUCCACAAUCUCUUCAUUGGCAAACCCUUGGAGGAUAAAAAUCGACUUCGCAAGUGUUCAACGAACGCCCCAGCGAGUCUCACAAAACACGAGACCAAUCUCCUGGGUCUAGGUUGCGGUCUAUGAUAAGGAAACCGCUGUUUCCUGCAGAUACACAUUGGAAAAAAAAAUGCCGCUGUAUUUCUCGGUAGAAAUAUCGUUUUCGCUCAUUACCCCACCACAAGAUACUCUACCGAUACAACACGAUCGGGAAAUUUCUCUGUUCAUGAAAGGACAGUGUGAAGCAGCUUUUGUAUGAAAUGUCUAUCCACCAAUGACGGAGAUAACGGUCUCUUCAGGAAUGUUCACCAGUGAACCUGCACUAUCUCCUUUUAUCUUCUAAAUUUGACGUUUUUCCAAUGCGAAUCGACAGUGGAUGCUUUUGGGUGAGUCGAGGUGGGGGAGAGCAAUUACGUGCAGAGGACUCACCUGGCUGUGACGGUCCUUGUAGAAGGAUAGAAUUGGGCCCCGCAGGACACCCCACACUUGCUUCCAAGAUCUGUCGGUCGAUCUCUGCAAUAUAAAAGAAUAAAUUCAAACUCGAUGAAAUUAGAGUUUAAAAUUCAUGAAGAGAGACGGUUCAUGAAAAGUUUAUUUCAUUGUAGAAUAUUUCUAUUGGCAGUCGGUUAGGAGAACAUGAAUUCUCAGGAAUAUUCGAUGAUGAGACGGGAAUUGAUUUUGGUUUUCGAAAAAAUCAAUUUCUUGUGAAAAAAAGGGAGUUUUCAUUAAGAAAUUAGAAUUAAUUUCGGAGAAUGACGUUAAAAUCAUUAUUUAAUCACGAAAUUUGUAUAAAUGAAUUUAUAAUCAUUGUCUCCAAAAAUCCAGCCCAAAGUUUAAGAACAUUUUUCAAAACAAAUGAAUUUUUCAGAAUUCUUUCUACUUUUCUAAAUAAUUAUAAUUCAAGAAUUUGUAACCAAUGAACUACAAAUAAUUGAAUCCAUCUGAUAACUAAUUAAAUAAAAUUCUAAAUAAUCUCACGAAAAUACUGAUUUUCAAAUCAAUUCUCAAAUCUCACUAAUAAGAAAUAACAAAUGAUUUUUCAUGUAUUACCUUGCCGUCCAGAACAGUGAAUUUAACAUGAAGGGAUCCCUCACGCUCAACCGGCUCGACGUCCUUCGGUGUACAGCUCCCACCGUGUGAAUUCUGAAUGCUGUUGCUGAAAAUUCCAAAAAUAUCUCAUCAAUAAUUAAUUAAACCAAAGCGAACGACAUUGACAUCGAGAAGAUCAUUAUUUAAAAAUUCAAUCGAUUAAUUGGAUUAAUUAAACGAAACAUUUUUUCUGCUCCUGCUGAGACAAUUGGACAAGGUCUCGUUCCUCGGAGUUUGCUCGUCAUCCUGUUAAAGUUGUUAUAGAUACUGAUUAAUUUUCGGCAUCGUUAGACACUGAAUCAUACCCACAUAACACAUACACGACCUCGAGAAUAUGUUUUCAUUUUUUUUUCGUUUCAUCGGGUGCUUUUUUUUUGCUCUCAUUGCCAUACAGGUGUAGUUAGUUUUGCGGGGGAUUUGAAAACGUGAUGGAAUUUGUGAUUUGUAGCUGCGCAUAUCUACAUCACAGGAAUGUUCACUUAAUAUUUAUGGUAAUCACACUUAUUUACAACAAUUAGGUUAUUACUACGUGAUUGUCGAACGCCUUGGAGUCAUUCAGAAAGGAGAUUGGUCCGUUAUAAAAUGGAAAUAUUGUUUCUUACGGAGAUAUUGAACUGUAAAAAUUAAAGAAGAAAAUGAAAAAUUGUAUUUUAUGUUCUAAAAACUAUUUUUUCGUUUAAAUUCUCCCCAAAAGUCGUUAACAAUUUAGUUUUUCAUAAACAUUAAGCAUCGACUUGAAUUUCUGGCUCGGAAAAUUGACUAAAAAAAUUGUAUCAAAAUUUUUUCGUUUGAUAAAUAACGAAUAAUAAAUUAAUUAUAACAAAUUUAAACCCUCUCCCAUGAUUUUUUCAUUUUUCAAGUUAAUAAAGAAACAUCUGUUCCCAUCGUU